AUUGAACGCUGGCGGCAGGCCUAACACAUGCAAGUCGAACGGUAACAGGAAGAAGCUUGCUUCUUUGCUGACGAGUGGCGGCCGGGUGAGUAAUGUCUGGGAAACUGCCUGAUGGAGGGGGAUAACUACUGGAAACGGUAGCUAAUACCGCAUAACGUCGCAAGACCAAAGAGGGGGACCUUCGGGCCUCUUGCCAUCGGAUGUGCCCAGAUGGGAUUAGCUAGUAGGUGGGGUAACGGCUCACCUAGGCGACGAUCCCUAGCUGGUCUGAGAGGAUGACCAGCCACACUGGAACUGAGACACGGUCCAGACUCCUACGGGAGGCAGCAGUGGGGAAUAUUGCACAAUGGGCGCAAGCCUGAUGCAGCCAUGCCGCGUGUAUGAAGAAGGCCUUCGGGUUGUAAAGUACUUUCAGCGGGGAGGAAGGGAGUAAAGUUAAUACCUUUGCUAAUUGACGUUACCCGCAGAAGAAGCACCGGCUAACUCCGUG
rnacentral:rRNA from 1 species